AGUCUGUGUUAUAUAACCUAGGUAUAAAAACACUAGGCAACCACUGUUACGGACUCUUUCACCUCAUGCACCGUCCUUUCCCCGAAUCGCCGUUUCCGUCCGUAACGCACAUCUCGCGGUCGUCGGCCGAGCUUACACUGGUCUUCGGGACUCAGCCAGGAGCCCCCUCAAGAGGUCAGUCCUUCCGAUGACAUCGUGAUCGGGCGAAGAGGAUUGCAAUCUCCACACCGGCGACACGAACUCAGUGGGCGAGGGUUUUUCCGGCGGCGGAACGAAGAAAGGAAAGGCAAGUACUCUUCGAUUUGGGUGAAGAGGUCUAACAGGAUGUGAUGGAAGACAUGUGGACGGGGUAGGCGAGGAGGCGAAAUGGACGCAUGACACUAUCCAAACGUUUAGGAGUGCAGAGUAUACUCCUUUCUUUGGGAGAGGUUCUUGGAAGAUAAUGAGGACUCAUUAUUCCUUUUGUAAACACUUAAGCGUGAGGUUGUCCUUUACCUUCUAUAAAUUGAGACUUUUGAAGGGUUUGAUCUA